GUGCUCACUUCAGCAGCACAUGUACUAAAAUUGGAAUGAUACAGAGAAGAUUAUCAUGGCCUCUCUGCAAGGAUGACACGCAAAUUCAUGAAGCAUUCCAUAUUUAA
ensembl:snRNA U6 U6 spliceosomal RNA